UCAGUUAAAAUAAAACAAAGCCACCCAUAUAGCUACAAUUGAAGCUUGAAUCAUGUCCACUGACUCUUACUGUUUUCUCUAGAGCAAGCUAUUAAUUCCUAAUGCAAGGUACUUUCUGCCUUCAGGAAAAAGAAAGAAGAGGGAGUGGGAGAGAAUGAGUUCACAAGCUGUGAAUCAACUCCCUGAAAAGAGCUGGAAAAGAGACCCAAUAUUUUGAUGAAGAUCAUUAAGGUUGGUGAUUAUUGGAUUCAAAUAGAGGAUACCCUCAAGAGAACCAAUAAGGAUUCACAGUUCAUACUACCUCAAGGGUUCUAUUUUGCUGAAAA